AACGAACGCUGGCGGCAUGCCUAACACAUGCAAGUCGAACGAGACCUUCGGGUCUAGUGGCGCACGGGUGCGUAACGCGUUGGAACCUGCCCUUAGGUUCGGAAUAACUCCCCGAAAGGGGUGCUAAUACCGGAUAAUGUCUUCGGUCCAAAGAUUUAUCGCCUUUGGAUGGGCCCGCGUUGGAUUAGCUAGUUGGUAGGGUAAAAGCCUACCAAGGCGACGAUCCAUAGCUGGUCUGAGAGGAUGAUCAGCCACACUGGGACUGAGACACGGCCCAGACUCCUACGGGAGGCAGCAGUGGGGAAUAUUGGACAAUGGGCGAAAGGAUGAACCAGCAAUGCCGGGUGAGUGAUGAAGGCCUUAGGGUUGUAAAGCUCUUUUACCCGGGAUGAUAAUGACAGUACCGGGAGAAUAAGCGCCGGCUAACUCCGUG
rnacentral:rRNA from 1 species